rnacentral:rRNA from 1 species
GAUGAACGCUGGCGGCGUGCCUAAUACAUGCAAGUCGAGCGAACAGACGAGGAGCUUGCUCCUCUGACGUUAGCGGCGGACGGGUGAGUAACACGUGGAUAACCUACCUAUAAGACUGGGAUAACUUCGGGAAACCGGAGCUAAUACCGGAUAAUAUAUUGAACCGCAUGGUUCAAUAGUGAAAGACGGUUUUGCUGUCACUUAUAGAUGGAUCCGCGCCGCAUUAGCUAGUUGGUAAGGUAACGGCUUACCAAGGCAACGAUGCGUAGCCGACCUGAGAGGGUGAUCGGCCACACUGGAACUGAGACACGGUCCAGACUCCUACGGGAGGCAGCAGUAGGGAAUCUUCCGCAAAGGGCGAAAGCUUGACGGAGCAACGCCGCGAGAGUGAUGAAGGUCUUCGGAUCGUAAAACUCUGUUAUUAGGGAAGAACAAAUGUGUAAGUAACUAUGCACGUCUUGACGGUACCUAAUCAGAAAGCCACGGCUAACUACGUG